UACGGAGGGGGCUAGCGUUGUUCGGAAUUACUGGGCGUAAAGCGCACGUAGGCGGACUGUUAAGUCGGGGGUGAAAUCCUGGGGCUCAACCUCAGAAUUGCCUCCGAUACUGGCAGUCUCGAGUGCGGGAGAGGUGAGUGGAAUUCCCAGUGUAGAGGUGAAAUUCGUAGAUAUUGGGAAGAACACCAGUGGCGAAGGCGGCUCACUGGCCCGUAACUGACGCUGAGGUGCGAAAGCGUGGGGAGCGAACGGG
rnacentral:rRNA from 1 species